UUUCACCUGCAAGCAGAGAAGCAGAAGGGGGAAACACAGUUAGCCAUGAUUUUUACAGAACAAAAUUGACAAAUGGAAUGACAAAUGCUUCAAGUGAAGCAAAUGUCAGCAGGAGCAGCCGCAGCUUCUUGUCGCGCCUGCUGCAUGUAUGCGCAAAUUAACAUUUUCAUUGGCUUUUCAUGUUAGUUGGAGAACAAUCACAACACGACAACAGCAACAACAACAACAACAACAGCAACAUCUAUAACAACAAGCAAACAGCAGCUGCUCUGGCACACGACUUGCCGCUGCUGACGACGAUGGCCCAACAACAACAGUAACAACAACAACAACAACAGCAAUAACAAUAACAAGAGACAACACGACGACAUUUGGCGAGUCGAGCUACAAAAUUGUAAACGAAAUUGCGACCGGCCGGUGCCCAAAUGUUUCUCCGCUGGCUUCGCUGCUCUAUGACUAAUUCACUGCGAGCGGGCAGCCGGCUGUGAGCAGAGCAUUACAACUCAACGGCAACAACAACAACAACAACAGCAGCAAUAUCAACAUAAACAUAAACAUUCGUGUUCGAAUUGAAAUUGAAUGAAAUAAUUAUUGCGCUGCUUUAAAUUUUGUGAACUUGA